CAAAAUAUCUGUUGAAAAGUAAACUUGAUUUGGAUCAUAUUAUUGGGCUAACAAGUCACUAAUCAUGUUUAGCCCAACCCAAAUUCUGGAAAAGUCUUCCACCUCCAUAAGAUAAAAAUCUAGAUAUUUUGGUAGAAUUAUCUAGAAUUAGAAUUAUAAUAUUUGAGAUAUUUUGUACUUUGGAGGCUAUAAAUACAUUCACUCCCAUUUCAUUUUGUAUCAUCAAGAAGUAUCCAAGUUUGUAAGAAUCAUCUAAGUAAUAAGAAUCCUCUUCUAAGUUAUAAAAGCUUUCUUCUUCACAAAAUUUU
rnacentral:lncRNA from 1 species